rnacentral:rRNA from 1 species
GACGAACGCUGGCGGCGUGCCUAACACAUGCAAGUCGAACGGAGUUAAUUUUUCAGAUCCCUUCGGGGUGACGAAAUUUUAACUUAGUGGCGGACGGGUGAGUAACGCGUGAGUAACCUGCCCUUCAGAGGGGGACAACAGUUGGAAACGACUGCUAAUACCGCAUAACGUAUUUUGAAGGCAUCUUCGAAAUACCAAAGGAGCAAUCCGCUGAAGGAUGGACUCGCGUCCGAUUAGAUAGUUGGUGAGGUAACGGCUCACCAAGUCGACGAUCAGUAGCCGGACUGAGAGGUUGAACGGCCACAUUGGGACUGAGAUACGGCCCAGACUCCUACGGGAGGCAGCAGUGGGGAAUAUUGGGCAAUGGGGGAAACCCUGACCCAGCAACGCCGCGUGAAGGAAGAAGGCUUUCGGGUGUAAACUUCUUUGUUCGGAAUAAGUGCAGUAUGUAUACUGUUUUGUAUGUACCGUUCGAAUAAGCAUCGGCUAAUUCCGUGCCAGCAGCCG